UACAGAGGUCUCAAGCGUUGUUCGGAUUCAUUGGGCGUAAAGGGUGCGUAGGUGGCGUCGUAAGUCGGGAUGGUGAAAUUUACGGAGCUUAACUCCGAAACUGCAUUCGAUACUGCGGUGCUUGAGGACUGGAGAGGAGACUGGAAUUUACGGUGUAGCGGUGAAAUGCGUAGAUAUCGUAAGGAAGACCGGUGGCGAAGGCGGGUCUCUGGACAGUUCCUGACGCUGAGGCACGAAGGCCAGGGGAGCAAACGGG
rnacentral:rRNA from 1 species